rnacentral:rRNA from 1 species
CCNUGCCGCGUGCAGGAAGACUGCCCUAUGGGUUGUAAACUGCUUUUAUACAGGAAGAAACACUGCUACGUGUAGCAGCUUGACGGUACUGUAAGAAUAAGGAUCGGCUAACUCCGUGCCAGCAGCCGCGGUAAUACGGAGGAUCCAAGCGUUAUCCGGAAUCAUUGGGUUUAAAGGGUCCGUAGGUGGAUAAUUAAGUCAGAGGUGAAAUCCUGCAGCUCAACUGUAGAAUUGCCUUUGAUACUGGUUAUCUUGAGUUAUUAUGAAGUAGUUAGAAUAUGUAGUGUAGCGGUGAAAUGCAUAGAUAUUACAUAGAAUACCAAUUGCGAAGGCAGAUUACUAAUAAUAUACUGACACUGAUGGACGAAAGCGUGGGGAGCGAACAGGAUUAGAUACCCNGGGUAG